AUGAGGGCUCCUGUUCAUCUCCUGGGGCUGCUGCUGCUCUGGAUCUCAAGUACCAGAUGUGAUAUCCUGAUGACCCAGCUACCAUCUCAGACUGUAUCCCUAAAAGACCCAGUCACCAUCACGUGUCAAGCUAGUCAGAGCAUUGGCAGUGCAUUAGCCUGGUAUCAGCAAAAACCAGGGAAAUCUCCAAACCUCCUGAUCUAUUAUGCAAAAGGUUUGGUAGACGGAGUCCCAUCGAGGUUCAGUGGCAGUGGGACUGGGACAGAUUUUACCCUCACCAUCAGCAGUUUGGAGCCAGAAGAUAUUGCAACUUAUUACUGCCAACAGCACAACAAUAACCCACCCACAGUGGAACAAGUAUUAACAUAA